GUCCCGAAAGGCUAUACCAUCCAUAGUGAAGUUACGAACCGGAUGAAUCCCCUAGUUCGUGGGAUUCAUCCUACCGAACGACGGGCCGUUCGUGCGUUUCCCUUGGUACUUUCUGCAGCCCUGGAGGUCUUAGCGGUGUUCGGUUAGUCGAGUGUCCGUUUUGAGUUCCAGACACUCGACGACCAAACAUCACUGUUCGCGGGUUUAAG